rnacentral:rRNA from 1 species
UUAGGGUGACUAUAGCUGCAGGGCUCACCUCUUCCCAUUCCGAACAGAGAAGUUAAGCCUGCCUGCGCCGAUGGUACUGUUACUUACGGGAGAGUAGGUCGUCGCCAGUUU